AAAUAAUUAUUCGCACACAUUCAUAUACAUACAUACAUACACUGAAUCCUCACACGAAGAGCCCUACAGGCGUGAGAACAGUAAGGGAGGUGCAAGAAAGGUCUCCUUGGAGUUGGGAGGCGUAUUUACAGCUACUAGAGAAGGGGGAAGUGCCAGCUCCCCGAGAAGAAAGCAGGAGGAUGCUGAGAGACUAAAGCUGAAAUUUUCUGCCUGCUUCCUCACUCUUUUCGUUGGUUUCAGCCGUCUGAAAAACCCUUGUGAGAGGAGCAAAAAGGUCAAGGGAAGAUUGUUGCCUUGCUCUCAGUCUUCAAAAUUUUCGAUCCUCUGUUUUUUUUGUUUUGAGACGCAGUCUCGCUCUGUCGCCUAGGCUGGAGUGCAGCGGCGCGAUCUCGGUCACUGCAACCUCCGCCUCCCCGGUUCUAGCGAUUCUUCUGCCUCAGCCUCCUGAGUAGCUGGGACUACAGGCGCGUGCCACCACACCCAGCUAAUUUUUUUGUACUUUUGGUAGGGACGGGGUCUCACGGUGUUAGCCAGGAUGGUCUCUAUCUCCUGAACUCGUGAUCCGCCCGCCUCGGCCUCCCAAAGUGCUGGGAUUACAGGCGUGAGCCACCGCGCCCGGCCGGUCCUCUGUUUUUAAACUGUAAAGGACUCCAGUGGAUUGUUCGAAGUCUCCGAUGUCCCGCGAUCUGGUGGCCGCAGAAGAAAGAGGCCGAGUCGGCGGGGACUGGGAACCACCAGUUAGCGGCCUACGGGCAACCUCUCGGACGCGCGCGCCGGGCCGACGUUAAACAUGGAGUUUCACUCUUGUUGCCCAGACUGGAGGACAAUUGCGUGAUCUUGGCUCAAUGCAACCUCUGCCUCCUGGGUUGAAGCGAUUCUCCUGCCUCAGCCUCCUGAGUAGUUGAGAUUACAGGUGCAAGCCACCAUGCCUAUAUGAUUUUUGUAUUUUUAGUGAGAGACGGGGUUUCACCAUAUUGGCCAGGCUGGUCUCGAACUCCUGAGCUCAGGUGAUCCGCCUGCCUCAGCCUCCCAAAGUGCUGGGAUUACAGGCGUGAGCCACUGUGCCUGGCCUCUUUUUCUUUUUUCAAAAAGACACUAGUCAAUUCGAGUCUUUUUUUUUUUUUUUUUUUUUUGAGACAGAGUCUCAUUCUGUGGCCCAGGCUGGAGUGCAGUGGCACGAUCUUGGCUUACUGCAAACUCCACCUCCCGGGUUCAUGCGAUUCUCCUGCCUCAUCCUCCUGAGUAGCUGGGAUUAAAGGCGCACACCACCACACUGGCUAAUUUUUUGUGUACUUUUAGUAGAGACAGGGUUUCACUAUGUUGGCCAGACUGGUCUCGAACUCCUGACCUUGUGAUCCGCCCGCCUCAACUUCCCAAAGUGCUGGGAUUACAGGCAUGAACCACCGCGCUCGGCCUCAAGUCUGUAUCUUGUUAAUUCUCCCUUUUCAUUUCCAUUAUCUGUUGCUUUUUUUUUUUUUCAGAGACAGGAUCUCAAACUUUUGGCCUCAAGCAAUCCUCCAGCCUCAGCCUCCCGAAGUGCUGGGAUUACAGGCAUUAGCCACCACCCCCCAGCUCCCAUUGUCUGUUGCUUUUGUUUUCAUUAGUCAUACUUCUAGUUUCAUGAUGUUUAAUUUAGAUUGUGAAGCUCCUUGUGCAUUUUGGGGGGGAUAUUUUAGCUGUGGCAAUUUGUUGAGGUGUAAAAUGAAGCUUCUUUUCCAGAAAUGACUUGUAUUUGUUUCUACCGGGUGCUUAGGGGCACAAAACCAGCCUGGGAUAUGCCUAAAUUAAAUUCUCAGCUUGGGUGUUUGAAUCCCUAUGGUAUGAAUGCCAGGAACAAGUAAGCAUCGAUGGCUUGUAGUCCAAGCCUUAGCAGUAGAAUCUACACUGCUCAGAACCCAACUUCGGAGCUCACUUUUUUAUUUGCAUUCAUCUGUGAUGGGUUUGUAUGUGUGGUUCAUCCUUCUACUCUUGAGAUGACAGAUUUAGGUCUGGUGUCUCACCUUCACCUAAAAAGAUAUAUCAGGCUCUAUACCCUGGUCAGUUUUCACGGGUUGGGUAAAAGCCAGCUGUAGUGCUUGGGGUUUAACAUGGGCCAAGUCCCUGGCUCUGAGUUUACUUUCUUAGACCCUCUUUCUUACUUUUAAUUUAGAAAAUAUUACUCAGGCUUUUAUUUAUCCGUCCAAGUACCACGCUUGCCAUGUUAUGGAAAAUGUAUCCCAUAAUCCAUCAUUUCGUGUUUGUUUAUGAGGGCAUGAGGACAAACUUCUAAAUUCAUUCCUCUUUUAGACAAUGAUCAUCCAUCCAUCACUUAAAUUCUCCCUCUCAGCCAACAUUUGACUCCAAACCUAGCCUCAUCCAUCUCACAUUUUUCACGUCUCAAGUAUUUGUUCCUUUCCUUCUGGCCACUCCCUCCUAGUUCCCUCCCGACUCUUUUCCGAGAUUCUUUUUCUCCCGCAAUCAUCCAUUCCCCAGCAGUGAAAACCUUUUGUCAUCAUCCUACCUUGUGCAGCAGAAGCUACAUCCUGCCAGAAGGAGGUUUUCUUUCCCUUUCUACCUCCCCCAGUCCUCGGUACUCAGGGGCAUCUAAGAAAGGGUAAAUUGUACUGCAAAGGGGGCUUCAGUCCUGCGAUAACUAUUGCCUACCUGCAGUCAGGCACCUUAAUGAUUGACUAUUUGGUUUCUGCCGUUACCCGGAGGACUUUUAACCUGAAAGCUGCCAAAAAAACAACAACAACAACAACAAAAAUACAAAAAAAAAACUAUAAAUUAAAUGGCUUUCUGAAAAAGA